rnacentral:tRNA from 1 species
AUCUGUGUGGCUCAGUUGGUAGAGAACGGCGCUUGCAACGCCAAGGAUUGUGGGUUUGAUUCCCAUUGGGAUG